rnacentral:lncRNA from 1 species
CUGUGAUUGGGUGGGAGAACUUUGAGCUGCUCCGUAUUUCAGCUGGUGGAAUAUUAAUAUUAUCUAUUGGAAACAUUUUCGUAGACCGCAAAAGGCUAAUGUGCCUCAGGAGCAAGAUUCGUCCAGGAGGGGCCAAGGUCGCCGUGCGUCUGGGCUUGCCCGCUCCCAGGUCAAGAAAUCCCAGCGCAAGAACCUCACUUGGACUUCAGUGAAUGUCCUCACUGCCACGCAACAAGUGUGCAGCAGAUGUCAGAGGCCUGCAGUUAAGAAAUCCCCUGGUCUGGAGGCACAAUUUCCAGCGUGUCCUGUGGGCACACAUCUGAAGCGUUUCCAAACGAGGAGGCAGCGGUGGCCCGAGAGCUGUCACACUCCAUCUGGGUGAAGACCCACCUCCUUUCCCGGUUCCUCUCUCGCGCUGGUGCUGAGGUUUGCAGUGGAG